rnacentral:rRNA from 1 species
CUAGGUCGCUUGUUGCGUGUAACGCGUGUGAUCCAUACACAUACCUGUUUGAGCUGUGCGUUGAACACAAGAGGAUGAGAGUUGCCAAACACACAGACCA